rnacentral:sRNA from 1 species
GCAAUGGACAGUGGCAUUGUGCUUAUAAUCCCAGCUUCUUAGGAAGCUGAAGGAGAAGGAUCACUUGAGCCCAGGAGUUUAAGGCCCACCUGGGCAAUGAAGUGAGACUCUGUCUCUA